UGUGUAGGCGGUUAGGUAAGUCGGAUGUGAAAGCCCUGGGCUCAACCCAGGAAGUGCACUCGAUACUGCUUGACUAGAGUACCGGAGAGGUUGGUGGAAUUCUCGGUGUAGAGGUGAAAUUCGUAGAUAUCGAGAGGAACACCGGUGGCGAAGGCGGCCAACUGGACGAGUACUGACGCUGAGACACGAAAGCGUGGGGAGCAAACA
rnacentral:rRNA from 1 species